UAAUACAGAGGGGGCCAGCGUUAUUCGGAAUUAUUGGGCGUAAAGGGCGCGUAGGCGGCCAUGCGUGUCUUCCGUGAAAUCCCUCGGCUCAACCGAGGACGUGCGGAAGAAACUGCAAGGCUCGAGUCCGGAAGAGGGGGGCGGAAUUCCCAGUGUAGCGGUGAAAUGCGUAGAUAUUGGGAGGAACACCAGUGGCGAAGGCGGUCCCCUGGGCCGGAACUGACGCUGAGGCGCGAAAGCGUGGGUAGCAAACGGGAUUAGAUACCCCGGUAGUCCACGCCGUAAACGAUGGGCACUUGGUGUCGCGGGUAUCGACCCCUGCGGUGCCGAAGCUAACGCAUUAAGCAUUCCGCCUGGGGAGUACGGUCGCAAGGCUG
rnacentral:rRNA from 1 species